UUCGACCUCAAAUCAGGUAGGACUACCCGCUGAACUUAAGCAUAUCAUUAAAGCCGG
rnacentral:rRNA from 1 species